UUACGGCCAUAUAGCUUCGAAACACCGGUUCCCGUACGAUCAUGGAAGUCAAAGCAGCAUCGAGCCCGGUCAUUACUUGAAUGGGUGUCCGCUUAGGAAAACCAGGUGUUGUAAG